rnacentral:lncRNA from 1 species
CCCCCUUCCCCACAAGCUAUAUUUUGACGCAGUGUCACUUUCAUAAAUAACCGGAGACAAUUACGUACCAGUUGGCUUGCUUUCAAUCAAAUACAAUAAAAAUAUGCGAAUUUGCUUAAUGCACAAAAAAAUAAAUAGGAGUUCUUAUUAUUAUUAUUAUUAUGACAAGCUUUUCACAAAGAAGCAACAGUAAACGAGAUUUUAUUAAAAAAUCCAAUUGAUGAUUGGAUGAUGGACUGUUGAAUACUAAUUUGUCAAAGCUGCAGUGUAUAAGCCCAGAGAUCUUUACAAAUUACACGUAUGCCUGUGAUUCAUUUUCCUUCUGGA